UACGUAGGUGGCGAGCGUUGUCCGGAAUUACUGGGUGUAAAGGGCGUGUAGGCGGGACUGUAAGUCAGAUGUGAAAUUCCAAGGCUUAACCUUGGAGCUGCAUCUGAAACUAUGGUUCUUGAGUGCUGGAGAGGAAAGCGGAAUUCCUAGUGUAGCGGUGAAAUGCGUAGAUAUUAGGAGGAACACCAGUGGCGAAGGCGGCUCACUGGCUCGUAACUGACGCUCAUGCACGACAGCGUGGGGAUCAAACAGG
rnacentral:rRNA from 1 species